rnacentral:rRNA from 1 species
UACGGAGGAUGCAAGCGUUAUCCGGAAUGAUUGGGCGUAAAGCGUCCGCAGGUGGCUGUGUAAGUCUGCUGUCAAAGAGCAAAGCUCAACUUUGUAAAGGCAGUGGAAACUACACGGCUAGAGUGCGUUCGGGGCAGAGGGAAUUCCUGGUGUAGCGGUGAAAUGCGUAGAGAUCAGGAAGAACACCGGGGGCGAAGGCGCUCUGCUAGGCCGCAACUGACACUGAGGGACGAAAGCUAGGGGAGCGAAUGGG